UACGAAGGGGGCUAGCGUUGCUCGGAAUUACUGGGCGUAAAGCGCACGUAGGCGGAUUGUUAAGUCGGGGGUGAAAUCCUGGAGCUCAACUCCAGAACUGCCUUCGAUACUGGCGAUCUCGAGUUCGGGAGAGGUGAGUGGAACUGCGAGUGUAGAGGUGAAAUUCGUAGAUAUUCGCAAGAACACCAGUGGCGAAGGCGGCUCACUGGCCCGAUACUAACGCUGAGGUGCGAAAGCGUGGGGAGCAAACAGG
rnacentral:rRNA from 1 species